rnacentral:rRNA from 1 species
GACGAACGCUGGCGGCAUGCCUAAUACAUGCAAGUCGAGCGAACAGAUGAAGUGCUUGCACUUCUGACGUUAGCGGCGAACGGGUGAGUAACACGUAAGGAAUCUACCUAUAAGCGGGGGAUAACAUUCGGAAACGGGUGCUAAUACCGCAUAAUAUCUUCUUCCGCAUGGAAGAAGAUUGAAAGACGGCUCUGCUGUCACUUAUAGAUGACCUUGCGGUGCAUUAGUUAGUUGGUGGGGUAAUGGCCUACCAAGACGAUGAUGCAUAGCCGAUCUGAGAGGGUGAUCGGCCACAUUGGGACUGAGACACGGCCCAAACUCCUACGGGAGGCAGCAGUAGGGAAUCUUCCGCAAUUGGGCGAAAGCCCUGACCGGAGCAAUGCCGCGUGAGUGAAGAA